AAAUCCGCCGGGCUUAGAUGAGGGGUGAUAACGAGUCUGCUUGCAGACGAAUUGAGUGAUACCCAGCUUCCAGGAAAAGCCACUAAGCUUCAGCUACACACGACCGUACCGCAAACCGACACUGGUGCGCGAGAUGAGUAUUCUAAGGCGCUUGAGAGAACUCAGGAGAAGGAGCUCGGCAAAUUGAUACCGUAACUUCGGGAGAAGGUAUGCCCCAAGUAGGUGAACUCGAACAGAGGGAGCCCAACGGGGUUGCAAAAAAUCGGUGGCUGCGACUGUUUAAUAAAAACACAGCACUCUGCAAACACGAAAGUGGACGUAUAGGGUGUGACGCCUGCCCGGUGCUGGAAGAUUAAGUGAUGGGGUGCAAGCUCUUGAUUGAAGUCCCAGUAAACGGCGGCCGUAACUAUAACGGUCCUAAGGUAGCGAAAUUCCUUGUCGGGUAAGUUCCGACCUGCACGAAUGGCGUAACGAUGGCCACACUGUCUCCUCCUGAGACUCAGCGAAGUUGAAAUGUUUGUGAUGAUGCAAUCUCCCCGCGGAAAGACGGAAAGACCCCAUGAACCUUUACUGUAGCUUUGUAUUGGACUUUGAACAGAUCUGUGUAGGAUAGGUGGGAGGCUUUGAAGUGAUGUCGCUAGAUGUCAUGGAGCCAACGUUGAAAUACCACCCUGGUGUGUUUGAGGUUCUAACCUAGGUCCAUUAUCUGGAUCGGGGACAGUGCAUGGUAGGCAGUUUGACUGGGGCGGUCUCCUCCCAAAGCGUAACGGAGGAGUUCGAAGGUACGCUAGUUACGGUCGGACAUCGUGACGAUAGUGCAAUGGCAUAAGCGUGCUUAACUGCGAGACUGACAAGUCGAGCAGAUGCGAAAGCAGGACAUAGUGAUCCGGUGGUUCUGUAUGGAAGGGCCAUCGCUCAACGGAUAAAAGGUACUCUGGGGAUAACAGGCUGAUACCGCCCAAGAGUUCAUAUCGACGGCGGUGUUUGGCACCUCGAUGUCGGCUCAUCUCAUCCUGGGGCUGUAGCCGGUCCCAAGGGUAUGGCUGUUCGCCAUUUAAAGGGGUACGUGAGCUGGGUUUAAAACGUCGUGAGACAGUUUGGUCCCUAUCUUCCGUGGGCGCUGCAGACUCGAGGAAGUCUGCUCCUAGUACGAGAGGACCGGAGUGGACACACCUCUGGUGUAUCGGUUGUCACGCCAGUGGCAUUGCCGAGUAGCUAAGUGUGGAAGAGAUAACCGCUGAAAGCAUCUAAGCGGGAAACUCGUUUCAAGAUGAGAUCUGCCGGGGCCUUGAGCCCCCUGAAGAGUCGUUCAAGACCAGGACGUUGAUAGGUCAGGUGUGGAAGCCAA
rnacentral:rRNA from 1 species